UACAGAGGGUGCAAGCGUUAAUCGGAAUUACUGGGCGUAAAGCGCGCGUAGGUGGUUUGUUAAGUUGGAUGUGAAAGCCCCGGGCUCAACCUGGGAACUGCAUCCAAAACUGACGAGCUAGAGUAUGGUAGAGGGUGGUGGAAUUUCCUGUGUAGCGGUGAAAUGCGUAGAUAUAGGAAGGAACACCAGUGGCGAAGGCGACCACCUGGACUGAUACUGACACUGAGGUGCGAAAGCGUGGGGAGCAAACAGG
rnacentral:rRNA from 1 species